CGGUCCUAAGGUAGCGAAAUUCCUUGUCGGGUAAGUUCCGACCUGCACGAAUGGCGUAAUGAUGGCCACGCUGUCUCCACCCGAGACUCAGUGAAAUUGAAAUCGCUGUGAAGAUGCAGUGUACCCGCGGCUAGACGGAAAGACCCCGUGAACCUUUACUACAGCUUGGCACUGAACAUUGAACCUACAUGUGUAGGAUAGGUGGGAGGCUAUGAAGACGUGACGCCAGUUGCGUUGGAGCCGUCCUUGAAAUACCACCCUUGUAUGUUUGAUGUUCUAACUUAGACCCAUUAUC
rnacentral:rRNA from 1 species